UACAACUCUCAACAACGGAUCUCUUGGCUCUCGCAUCGAUGAAGAACGCAGCGAAAUGCGAUAAGUAAUGUGAAUUGCAGAAUUCAGUGAAUCAUCGAAUCUUUGAACGCACCUUGCGCCCCUUGGUAUUCCGAGGGGCAUGCCUGUUUGAGUGUC
rnacentral:rRNA from 1 species